UCCUACGGGAGGCAGCAGUGGGGAAUAUUGGACAAUGGGCGAAAGCCUGAUCCAGCCAUGCCGCGUGUGUGAAGAAGGUCUUCGGAUUGUAAAGCACUUUAAGUUGGGAGGAAGGGCAGUUACCUAAUACGUGACUGUUUGACGUACCGACAGAUAGCCCGAUGGG
rnacentral:rRNA from 1 species